UGUGUAGGCGGUUCUUUAAGUUUGGUGUGAAAUCUCCCGGCUCAACUGGGAGGGAGCGCCGAAUACUGAGGGACUAGAGUACGGGAGAGGAAAGUGGAAUUCCUGGUGUAGCGGUGAAAUGCGUAGAUAUCAGGAGGAACACCGGUGGUGUAGACGGCUUUCUGGACCGUAACUGACGCUGAUACACGAAAGCGUGGGUAGCAAACAGGAUUAGAUACCCUGGUAGUCCACGCCCUAAACGAUGCAUAUUUGGUGUGGGCAGUUCAUUCUGUCCGUGCCGGAGCUAACGCGUUAAAUAUGCCGCCUGGGGAGUACAGUCGCAAGGCUGAA
rnacentral:rRNA from 1 species